UCCGAGUUGACCCCGGCAGUCUCCUGCGAGUCCCCGGCUUUACCCGCUGGCAACACAGGACAAGGGUUGCGCUCGUUGCGGGACUUAACCCAACAUCUCACGACACGAGCUGACGACAGCCAUGCACCACCUGUGCACCGGCCCCGAAGGGCUGCCGUAUUUCUACGGCAUUCCAGUGCAUGUCAAGCCUUGGUAAGGUUCUUCGCGUCGCGUCGAAUUAAACCACAUGCUCCACCGCUUGUGCGGCUCCCCGUCAAUUCCUUUAUGUUUUAGUCUUGCGACCGUACUCCACAGGCGGGAUACUUAACGCGUUAGCUUCGCUACCGAAGGGGUCGAUACCUCCAACAGCUAGUAUCCAUCGGUUACGGCGUGGACUAC
rnacentral:misc_RNA from 1 species